rnacentral:tRNA from 1 species
GGCCUGCUGGCGAAAUGGCAUCGCGUCACAUUUCGGCUUUUCUCUUAGUCAUACUGUGAAGAUUGUAGGUUCGAUCCCUACGUAGGUCG